rnacentral:rRNA from 1 species
CACAACACACAAUUAAAUUACCAAUUGUUCGCCAAACAACUACGAGUAAUACUUAAAACUUAAAAGACUUGACGGUACUUCAUCUCAACCUAGAGGAGCCUGUCCAAUAACCGAUAACCCACGAUUAAUCCAACCAUUUCUAGCCAAACAGUCUAUAUACCGCCGUCGUCAGCUUACCUUGUAAAAGAAAUAAAGUGAGCCAAAUAGCACUACACUAAAACGACAGGUCGAGGUGUAACUUAUGAAACGGGACAAGAUGGGCUACACUCUUCAACCAAGAAUACGAACAACACUAUGAAACUAGUAUUUAAAGGCGGAUUUAGCAGUAAGAUAAGAAUAAAAUACUUAACUGAACAUAACGCAAUGAAGUGCGUACACACCGCCCGUCAUCCCUGUCAUCAC